GCAGAGCACUCCUCGGGAGGCAGCAGUGGGGAAUAUUGCACAAUGGGCGCAAGCCUGAUGCAGCCAUGCCGCGUGUAUGAAGAAGGCCUUCGGGUUGUAAAGUACUUUCAGCAGUGAGGAAGGUGGAUAUGUUAAUAGCAUAUUCAUUUGACGUUAGCUGCAGAAGAAGCACCGGCUAACUCCGUGCCAGCAGCCGCGGUAAUACGGAGGGUGCGAGCGUUAAUCGGAAUUACUGGGCGUAAAGCGCAUGCAGGUGGUUUGUUAAGUCAGAUGUGAAAGCCCGGGGCUCAACCUCGGAAUUGCAUUUGAAACUGGCAAACUAGAGUACUGUAGAGGGGGUAGAAUUUCAGGUGUAGCGGUGAAAAUGCGUAGAGAUCUGAAGGAAUACCGGUGGCGAAGGCGGCCCCCUGGACAGAUACUGACACUCAGAUGCGAAAGCGUGGGGAGCAAACAGGAUUAGAUACCCCGGUAG
rnacentral:rRNA from 1 species